CGCGCGCGGCCAGCAAAAGAAGUCUGCACCACUACAACAGAAAACAGCGCCUCAAAUCAAGAUGGAUUUUUAAUUCGGAACACUUUAAUACUGUGAUCACUGCAAAUUCCUCUUUUACACACCUCUACACUAAAAAAUAAACAUUGGACACUAAACACUACUUUGUUCAUUUAUAAUCAUGUUUUAUGUGCAUUUCAAUUCCAAAAGGUUUGAUUUCUACAGAGUGAUUUAUUUGUGUCUACAAACUAGACUCAGGGCUCAUGUUUCCAACAGAAUACUGUACCCCUAUGAACCCCUGCUCUGGCCAAUACAACACUACCAGCAAUACUUAAGAGUGCCGUCCAAAACAGCACCCUAUUCCCUAUAUAGUGCACUACUUUUGACGAGUAGUGUACUAUCUGGGGGAAUAGGCUGCCAUUUGGGAUGAACUUUGAGAGAAAUAAAGUGUAUUUAGAUAACAUACAGACAGGAGUCGGUUCAUUUCCAAGACAUUUGAUACUGUCCAGUCGCAAAAACCGUUUGUACAAAACAGUGUGUAACGAUUACUUUCCAGAAAACAUUCAGAUAAAAAUAUAAUUAUAAAACAGAACAUUUUAACAUUCCCAGACUUUUGCCAGGAACCCGGUGCGCUGACUUCUAGUGAAUACACACUAGGUACUGAUGAGUAUUGGGGUGUAAACAUUAGUGCAAACAGUUGCGUUUUACAACAAAAACAAGUUUCUAUUGGAGAGAUUCAGGAACCCCAACAGAGGUUAGAGUAUAGUUUAGAGACUCCCUCACCCCAACAGAGGUUAGAGUAUAGAUUAGAGACUCCCUCAUCCCAACAGAGGUUAUAGUAUAGAUUAGAGACCCCUCACCCCAACAGAGGUUAUAGUAUAGAUUAGAGACCCCUCACCCCAACAGAGGUUAUAGUAUAGUUUAGAGACUCCCUCAUCCCAACAGAGGUUAUAGUAUAGAUUAGAGACUCUUCACCCCAACAGAGGUUAUAGUAUAGAUUAGAGACUCCCUCAUCCCAACAGAGGUUAGAGUAUAGUUUAGAGACUCCCUCAUCCCAACAGAGGUUAGAGUAUAGUUUAGAGACUCCCUCACCCCAACAGAGGUUAUAGUAUAGAUUAGAGACUCCCUCACCCCAACAGAGGUUAUAGUAUAGAUUAGAGACCCCUCACCCCAACAGAGGUUAGAGUAUAGAUUAGAGACCCCUCACCCCAACAGAGGUUAUAGUAUAGAUUAGAGACUCCUCACCCCAACAGAGGUUAUAGUAUAGAUUAGAGACUCCCUCACCCCAACAGAGGUUAUAGUAUAGAUUAGAGACCCCUCACCCCAACAGAGGUUAGAGUAUAGAUUAGAGACCCCUCACCCCAACAGAGGUUAUAGUAUAGAUUAGAGACUCCUCACCCCAACAGAGGUUAUAGUAUAGAUUAGAGACUCCCUCAUCCCAACAGAGGUUAGAGUAUAGUUUAGAGACUCCCUCAUCCCAACAGAGGUUAGAGUAUAGUUUAGAGACUCCCUCACCCCAACAGAGGUUAUAGUAUAGAUUAGAGACUCCCUCACCCCAACAGAGGUUAUAGUAUAGAUUAGAGACUCCCUCACCCCAACAGAGGUUAUAGUAUAGAUUAGAGACUCCCUCACCCCAACAGAGGUUAGAGUAUAGUUUAGAGACUCCCUCACCCCAACAGAGGUUAUAGUAUAGAUUAGAGACUCCCUCACCCCAACAGAGGUUUUAGUAUAGAUUAGAGACUCCCUCAACAGAGGUUAGAGUAUAGAUUAGAGACCCCUCACACCAACCGAGGUUAUAGUAUAGAUUAGAGACCACUCACCCCAACAGAGGUUAUAGUAUAGAUUAGAGACCCCUCACCCCAACAUAGGUUAUAGUAUAGAUUAGAGACCCCUCACCCCAACAGAGGUUAGAGUAUUGGGAAUAUGGGGUUGGCUGGUCAGCAAAACCAAUUACACACACUUCACUGACACAAGGGACACAUACACACACUGAGAGAGAGAGAGAGGAAGAGAGAGAGGAAGAGAGAGAGAGAGACAGAGAGAGAGGAAGAGAGAGACAGAGACAGAGACAGAGAGAGAGAGAGAGAGAGAGAGAGAGAGAGAGAGAGAGAGAGGCACAUCUGUGUGAUGACUAGGUGUUUCCAUCCCUGUCCUGGUGUCACUCUGGACAAUCUUACAUAACAGUCUGUACGGAGGUGGAGAGAUAGUGUCUGUACGGAGGUGGAGAGAUAGUGUCUGUACGGAGGUAGAGAGAUAGUGUCUGUACGGAGGUGGAGAGAUAGUGUCUGUACGGAGGUGGAGAGAUAGUGUCUGUACUGAGGUGGAGAGAUAGUGUCUGUACGGAGGUGGAGAGAGUGUCUGUACGGAGGUGGAGAGAUAGUGGUUCUUCAUUAUGAUAGUGUCUGUACGGAGGUGGAGAGAUAGUGUCUGUACGGAGGUGGAGAGAUAGUGUCUGUACGGAGGUGGAGAGAUAGUGUCUGAACGGAGGUGGAGAGAUAGUGGUUCUUCAUUAUGAUAGUGUCUGUACGGAGGUGCAGAGAUAGUGGUUCUUCAUUAUAAUAGUGUCUGUACGGAGGUGGAGAGAUAGUGUCUGUACGGAGGUGGAGAGAUAGUGUCUGUACGGAGGUGGAGAGAUAGUGUCUGAACGGAGGUGGAGAGAUAGUGGUUCUUCAUUAUGAUAGUGUCUGUACGGAGGUGCAGAGAUAGUGGUUCUUCAUUAUAAUAGUGUCUGUACGGAGGUGGAGAGAUAGUGUCUGUACGGAGGUGGAGAGAGUGUCUGAACGGAGGUGGAGAGAUAGUGGUUCUUCAUUAUAAUAGUGUCUGUACGGAGGUGCAGAGAUAGUGGUUCUUCAUUAUAAUAGUGUCUGUACGGAGGUGCAGAGAUAGUGGUUCUUCAUUAUAAUAGUGUCUGUACGGAGGUGGAGAGAUAGUGUCUGUACGGAGGUGGAGAGAUAGUGUCUGUACGGAGGUGGAGAGAUAGUGUCUGUACGGAGGUGGAGAGAGUGUCUGUACGGAGGUGGAGAGAUAGUGUCUGUACGGAGGUGGAGAGAUAGUGGUUCUUCAUUAUAAUAGUGUCUGAACGGAGGUGGAGAGAUAGUGUCUGAACGGAGGUGGAGAGAUAGUGGUUCUUCAUUAUGAUAGUGUCUGUACGGAGGUGCAGAGAUAGUGGUUCUUCAUUAUAAUAGUGUCUGUAGAGAGAGAGAGAAACAAAACAUACAGACAGGAGUCGGUUCAUUUCCAACACAUUUGAUACUGUCCAGUCGCAACAACAACCGGUUGUACAAAACAGUGUGUAACGAUUACUUUCCAGAAAACAUUCAAAUAAAAAUAUAAUAAAGAAAAAACUGAACAUUUGAACAUUCACAUUCCCAGACUUUCUCCUCAUCUUCAACUGUCUUAACAGAAGUAAUGACAGAACAGAAAAAUAAUAAAAUACAUGGAAAAAGGAAAGACCAACGUGACAGAGCAUUCAGAACGGAGGAAAAGAGCUGGUACUGUGUAAGGCAAGUGUGGGUGUGUGUGUGUGUGUGUGUGUGUGUGUGUGUGUGUGUGUGUGUGUGUGUGUCUGCGAGAACAUGGAACUCACACUACGGAAAAAGAAGGAACAGCACGUCAGAAAUCAGCUCAAUGCAAUUGAAGAAUCCAUCGACUCUAACCACUUCUGGGAAAAUUGGAAAACACUAAACAAACAACAACACAAAGAAUUAUCUAUCCAAAAUGGAGAUGUGUAGGUAAACCACUUCUCCAAUCUUUCUGGCUCUAUAACAAAGAACAAAGAGCAAAAACAUAUACAUGAUCAAAUACAGAUCUUAGAAUCAACUAUUAAAGACUACCAGAACCCAAAUAUACAGACAACAAAUUCCAAUUGGCUAUACUAAAACUCUUUAACAUCAUACUUAGCUCUGGCAUCUUCCCCAAUAUUUGGAACCAAGGACUGAUCACCCCAAUCCACAAAAGUGGAGACAAAUUUGACCCCAAUAACUACCGUGGAAUAUGUGUCAACAGUAACCUUGGGAAAAUCCUCUGCAUUAUUAUUAACAGCAGACUCGUACCGUUCCUCAAUGAAAACAAUGUACUGAGCAAAUGUCAAAUUGGCUUUUUACCAAAUUACCGUACAACAGACCACGUAUUCACCCUGCACACCCUAAUUGACAACCAAACAAACCAAAACAAAGGCAAAGUCUUCUCAUGCUUUGUUGAUUUCAAAAAAGCCUUCGACUCAAUCUGGCAUGAGGGUCUGCUAUACAAACUGAUGGAAAGUGGUGUUGGGGGUAAAACAUACGACAUUAUAAAAUCCAUGUACACAAACAACAAGUGUGCAGUUACAAUUGGCAAAAAACACAGACAUUUCUUCACACAGGGUCGUGGGGUUAGACAGGGAUGCAGCUUAAGCUCCACCCUCUUCAGCAUAUAUAUCAACGAAUUGGCGCGGGCACUAGAAAAGUCUGCAGCAGCCGGCCUCCCCCUGCUAGAAUCCGAAGUCAAAUGUUUGCUGAUGAUCUGGUGCUUCUGUCACCAACCAAUGAGGGCCUACAGCAGCACCUAGAUCUUAUGCACAGAUUCUGUCAGACCUGGGCCCCGACAGUAAAUCUCAGUAAGACCAAAAUAAUGGUGUUCCAAAAAAGGUCCAGUCACCAGGACCACAAAUACAAAUUCCUUCUAGACACUGUUGCCCUAGAGCACACAAAAACUAUACAUACCUUGGCCUAAACAUCAGCGCCACAGUUAACUUCCACAAAGCUGUGAACGAUCUGAGAGACAAAGCAAGAAGGGCAUUCUAUGCUUGAAUCAGUCAUAGAGCCCAUUGCCCUUUAUGGUUGUGAGGUCUGGGGUCCGCUCACCAACCAAGACUUCACAAAAUGGGACAAACACCAAAUUGAGACUCUGCACGCAGAAUUCUGCAAAAAUAUCCUCCGUGUACAACGUAAAACACCAAAUAAUGCAUGCAGAGCAGAAUUAGGCCGAUACCCACUAAUUAUCAAAAUCCAGAAAAGAGCCGUUAAAUUCUACAACCACCUAAAAGGAAGCGAUUCACAAACCUUCCAUAACAAAGCCAUCACCUACAGAGAGAUGAACCUAAGAGUCCCCUAAGCAAGCUGGUCCUGGGGCUCUGUUCACAAACACAAACACAGAGCCCCAGGACAACAGCACAAUUAGACCCAACCAAAUCAUGAGAAAACAAAAAGAUAAUUACUUAACACAUUGGAAAUAAUUAACAAAAAAACAGAGCAAACUAGAAUGCUAUUUGGCCCUACACAGAGAGUACACAGCGGCAGAAUACCUGACCACUGUGACUGACCCAAAAUGAAGGAAAGCUUUGACUAUGUACAGACUCAGUGAGCAUAGCCUUGCUAUUGAGAAAGGCCGCCGUAGGCAGACAUGGCUCUCAAGAGAAGACAGGCUAUGUGCUCACUGCCCACAAAAUUAGGUGGAAACUGAGCUGCACUUCCUAACCUCCUGCCCAAUGUAUGACCAUAUUAGAGAGACAUAUUUCCCUCAGAUUACACAGAUCCACAAAGAAUUCGAAAACAAAUCCAAUUUUGAAAAACUCCCAUAUCUACUGGGUGAAAUUCCACAGUGUGCCAUCACAGCAGCAAGAUUUGUGACCUGUUGCCACGAGAAAAGGGCAACCAGUGAAGAACAAACACCAUUGUAAAUACAACCCAUAUUUAUGCUUAUUUAUUUUAUCUUGUGUCCUUUAACCAUUUGUACAUUGUUAAAACACUGUAUAUAUAUAUAUAUAUAAUAUGACAUUUGUAAUGUCUUUACUGUUUUGAAACUUCUGUAUGUGUAAUGUUUACUGUUAAUUUUUGUUGUUUUUCACUUCAUAUAUUCACUUUGUAUGUUGUCUACCUCACUUGCUUUGGCAAUGUUAACACAUGUUUCCCAUGCCAAUAAAGCCCUUGAAUUGAAU